ACCCCAAGCGUAGUAAUGACAAGCUCUGCUUAAACCCUUGCAAGCAAGCAGCAGCAGCAGUCUCCAAACUAUGUACAUGCAUUUCCUCCUCCGUCGAACUCACCACCAGCGUCAACAAUGGCGGACACUGUUCGACGAUGCCCUUUCCAUCAAACAUGUAAGAGAUCGUGGAUUAGACCACGCUGUCGAAAGAGAAAAGAAUCUCAAACCACUUCUCAACAUCAAGAAUCUUAUCAAAUCUGAACCAUCGAAAUCAAUUCCCUUAAACAUCAUCACACAAUCUAAAGAUUCUCUACAAAUCCCAUCUCGCCCCAUUGAGUUUAUCCGAAAAUACCCUUCAAUUUUUCAAGAAUUUUUCCCAGCUAGCAUAAACAUACAUCCCCAUAUCAAGUUAACCCCAGAAAUUCUCAGUAUUGAUUCAGAUGAAGAGUUGUUCUAUCAAAGUGUGAGUUACAAAGAAGAUGUUGCAGAUAGGCUUUUGAAGAUUUUGAUGAUAGGUAAAAUUAAUAAAAUCCCUUUACAUGUUAUUGAUAAGCUUAAAUGGGAUUUGGGUUUGUGUAAUAAUUUUGUGGAAACUAUAGUGCCAGAAUAUCCGGAUUAUUUUCAGGUGAAUAAUGAGUCAAUGUUGGAAUUAGUUUGUUGGAGUCAUGAACUUGCUGUUUCCUCUUUGGAAAAACAAGCAGUGAAAUGUGAAAGUGAAGAUUUGUUAGUUAAGUUUGAUUUGAAGUAUUCAAAUGGGUUUGAGAUGGAUAAGAAGUACAAGAAAUGGGUUGAUGAAUGGAAAAAAUUGCCUUAUAUUUCGCCAUAUGAGAAUGUAAAGAAUCUUCCUACAAAGAGUGAUGAAGCUGAUAAGUGGGCAGUGAUAAUUUUGCAUGAAAUUCUUAGUCUUUGUGUUGGGAAGAAGGCGGAGAAAGAUAAUUUGCUUUUGAUAGGAGAGUAUUUGGGACUUCGCUCUAGGUUUAAGAGGGCAUUGUUGUUGCAUCCUGGGAUAUUCUAUGUGUCAAGUAAGAUCGACACACAUACUGUGGUACUGAAGGAGGGAUAUAAAAGGGGAAUGUUAAUUCAGAAGAACUCGUUGAUAGAACUGAGGUCUAAGUAUGUUUAUCUCAUGAACAAGGUUACGGAGGAUAAAAAAUCAAAAGAAGUGCAGCAAAAAGGUAGUCAUGAUCUGAAAGAAGGUGAUGCAAAGGAAACUGAUGUUGAUAAUGAAGAUGAAGAUGAAGAUGAAGAUGAAGACUAUCAUGAGGACUCUGAUGAUGUGCAUAAUGACUACCAUGAUGAUGAGACGGACAAUGAGGGUAGAGAUGAGAAGCAUAGCCAAAGAGUAAACUCGAGGAGAAGAGUUGAUGAUAGAAACUCAAUGACAAGAGAUGAUGAUAGAAACUCAAUGACAAGAGAUGAUGAUAGGAAGCCUACCCGAAGAUUAAACUCAAGGACUAGAGAUUAUGAUAGGAAUACUUCAGCUACCUCUUCGAGGACUAGAGAUUAUGAUAGGAAUACUUCAGCUACCUCUCCGAGGACUAGAGAUUAUGAUAGGAAUACUUCAGCUGCCUCACCGAGGACUAGAGGUUAUGAUAGGAAUACUUCAGCUACCUCUCCGAGGACUAGAGAUUAUGAUAGGAAUACUUCAGCUACCUCUCCGAGGACAUCCUUGGGGAGAAAUCAAAACAGAGAUGUGGAAAGGCCAUCAAGAAGAUCGUCUUGGAGGGCAGAAAAUAAUAGUGAGCAAGAUGCUCGAUCAACAUAUGGGGACAGAAAGCUUCCAAUAAAUUCAUGGAAGACUUCAGCAGGAAGAAGUUCCAACAGAACCAACGAAAGAACCUUUCGAUCUCCUAGGAGGGUGGAGACUAAUGAUAAUCAAUAUGCUCACCGGAGAUCAAGUAACAAAUUUGAUCUUCAUAGAAACCGGGGAACAUCUGAACGGAGGAGGAAUUCCACGCCAUGAAAAUCUAUCCGCUUUGUGAAGACAGUGCAUAAUAGGCUUGCUUUUGAUAGUUUUAGGUUUGUCAGUUGUCAAUCACAUAUGCAAGGUAUAAGGUUGUAACAACAUAUUGCAGAAUCUUGUCUCAUCUAAUUUUGUUUUUGGUGCAGUUCCGAUGCUUUUCUGGUGGUUUUGUUGGUGCAAGUCUAAUGUUGUUUUAGAGGUGAUUUUGAUGCUGCUGUUCUGGUGUAAUUCCAAUGCUGUUUUGAUACUUUUUUGGAGUAAAUUUAGUGCAGUUUUGGUGCAUUUCUGGUGCUAUUUUGAUACUUUUCUGGUGAAAUACUGGUCUUGUGUUGAAGAACUUUUGGUGCAUUUUUGGUGCUGCUUUCAUGCAGUUCUGGUGCAAAUCUGCUGCAAUUUUAGUAGUGUUCUUCUGCAAUUCUGAUAUACUUUUGGUUCUUUUUGUAAAACUAAAUACAAGAUACUGAUAUGUUUAGUACCCUCCUAAUAAAAUUCAAUUAGGAGUUCUAGUUAG